UUGUUCUUGCCCACCUAAUAGCAAAAUCAUCCAAAGGUUUUACUAUGCAAAUAGCAGAAGACUGCAGCCCUGGAUUCUUGCUGCUUGGAAGGUUUGUGCAACUACUUUAAGAGGUUAGUGCUUCUAAUCUCGUUAUUAUUGCGUUGUCUAAUUCACAUGUAUUUGAUGCCUGAUUAGUAUGCUUGCUUCCGCCGCGCGUGUUCUAACAAUUCACACCAUUGUUAUUAAUUAUAAGCUGCAUGUCUUUACUGAGGGGAAAUAUAAUGCACUGUCGAGUCACAGAGUUCAAAGAAUUUUAUGAAUGUUGAUGAUUAUAAAAUAGACUACUCAAUUUGGCAUAGAUGUAGUAAUAUUCAUUCUGGUGGAAUAUUACUAUUCAUAUUAAAUUCCACUGCUUGAUGUCCGUGUUGUUCUUAUGGUCAAUAAUCGCCAAAUCCUUCUUUUGCAUUAAUGAAGAAAGCAGUUACUGGCAUGAUGUUCAUGUAUUAAAUGGUGUGAGAUAAAUUAAAACGAGAAGGCUCUCAUAUAAAGGCUCUGUAAUUUUCUUUCUUUUUCGCAUAAUUAAUAGUAGAACGAGUAUGAAAAAGAUUCAGCUGGAUAGUUGACCUCCUGAAGAACACUUAAUUGGCAGAAUAGCCGAUACACCCUCUACUUGUUUCAUUUUGACAUUUCGGCUCCUUUACUCGCAAUCCACUAAAUUCUAUUUAGGCACUUCAACUUUAUCAAAUUUAUACUUAUGAAAUCUUUUUGAUCGUUGACCAAGUUUAUGUGCAUUAACUUGAUUGAAUUGGACGAAAAGAGUGUAACAAACGUGUCUAAAGCAAGUAAAUAAAGUGAUCAUUUUGAUUUAAAAAAUAUUAAAAUAUAAAAGUGUCUUUUAAAAAAAUAUACUUUUAUGUGCAAAAGUAUAUUUCUUAUGUAAGAUAAGAUCAUAAAAUUAUAAAUAAGUUUGUAAAGGCUCACAAAACUAUUUGACCAGGCCUUCAUGGCUAUUUGACCCCUAAACCCAUCACCCACCACUAAACUCUUCGGCAUUCGCCACCACUCUCUUAUUUUCUCUCCACCGUCUGACUCUACUAUGAAAAUCUAAAAGUUCAGGCAACUAACAAACCGACAGCUUCCAUUUCGCUCAAAAUCAACCACUAUAAAAAAGCUCAAAUCAUCAUAGAAUCCCCACCGGAAAUUUUACAAAAUUGAGAAUACCUUAGAUUUGGAUAAAAUUCAUCGGUGCUGAAGAUUUUUUUGAUAAAAGUCAAUAAUGAUUUUUCCCAUGGAUUUUAAAUUUGACAUCUUAGAGUUCACCAUGAAUCUCGAAUCCCCAAUUUUGUGAUAUAAAAAUAAAUUGUAACCGCAAUAUAAAUAUUAAGAAACAUAAUUUUAUUGAUAAAUGAUGCUGGUAUAAUUGUGUUUGUUCCCUUGAUUCCUCUCCCCUCAGUGUAUUUCUCGAACGCAGGAUGAUGCAGGCUUUUAUGGAUUUAUUUGAUAUCCAUGAAGUAUGUUUUGGAUCUUCUUGAAAUAUUUAAUUAUCAAGAAUUAUCCGGCUACUUCUUGAUCUCUUUCCGUGAGUUUAUGGGAUUUUCGAGAUGAUCUCCAUUUUUUAAAGAUGACUUUGUUAAGGGAAUAUGCAAUCUUUUUUAUACAAGUGACUUAGGAUUAGGGUAGAGUAGCCACCAAGAUAAGGUUUCGGUAGAGUAGCGUCCAAGCAACCCAAAUAGACUCCUAAAAUUUUAAUAGUCGUCUUAUCAUAUUUUGAAUUUAGGAUUUAACUUGAUCCGUUUAAAUUUCAUAUUUACGGCAGGCUAUGUGACAAUUUUCUCAAGCAACAACGAUUUUCUGGAGAUGAUAAUAGAGAGGGAAGGAGGGGUAGAGAGGAGCGGAAGGACGGAAAGAGGAGAUGGCGAGGGGAUAUUUUCUUUACAGUCAAGUUUUAACUUAUUUUUUUUUCUUUUCUUUCAUUUUUUUUUUCUGAUUUUAAUCUUUUUUAAAAAUUUAACAAUUGACGUGAUGCGUCAUUAAUGUCAGGGAGAGUGAGCAACACGCAAAUUCGAAGGUGUUUUAAUCAAUUUGAAGUGCCUAAAUAAAAUCUAGUGGAGUAAGGGGCUGGAAUAUCACAAUUAAAAGUAUCUACACUAUACUAUUCUACCUACUUACUUCGAAAUGUAUUAAUUAGACACUUCUGUCAUACAAUUUGUGGGACCAAACCAAAGAUGAAUUUGUCUUCCUUUGGCCCUCCAAAUCCCCAGAAAUGAGCGUGAUGUCUAAUUAAACUUCCAUACUCUCUCCCGCUCAAAUUAUGUGUCG
rnacentral:lncRNA from 1 species